UACGUAGGAUGCGAGCGUUAUCCGGAUUUAUUGGGUUUAAAGGGUGCGUAGGCGGGAUGCCAAGUCAGCGGUAAAAAUGCGGUGCUCAACGCCGUCGAGCCGUUGAAACUGGCGUUCUUGAGUGGGCGAGAGGUAUGCGGAAUGCGUGGUGUAGCGGUGAAAUGCAUAGAUAUCACGCAGAACUCCGAUUGCGAAGGCAGCAUACCGGCGCCCUACUGACGCUGAGGCACGAAAGCGUGGGUAUCGAACAGG
rnacentral:rRNA from 1 species